rnacentral:rRNA from 1 species
UACGAAGGGGGCUAGCGUUGCUCGGAAUUACCGGGCGUAAAGGGCGCGUAGGCGGCUUGGUCAGUCAGGCGUGAAAUUCCUGGGCUUAACCUGGGGACUGCGCUUGAUACGGCCAGGCUUGAGGAUGGAAGAGGGUCGCGGAAUUCCCAGUGUAGAGGUGAAAUUCGUAGAUAUUGGGAAGAACACCGGUGGCGAAGGCGGCGACCUGGUCCAUUACUGACGCUGAGGCGCGACAGCGUGGGGAGCGAACAGG